rnacentral:misc_RNA from 1 species
AACAAAACAUUGUGGGUAAUAGGAUUUGCUUGAUAUAUAUACUCAGAAGAUGAUCCACUCGGAUCCUUCACUUUAUCAUACUACCUAUUCAGUUUUACUAACAUAAGAAGGUAAUUACAUUAUGAAACUAAGUAAAUACCAGAGGGCAGUUAUAAGAAUUCAUAAACUUAGAUAUCCUAAGAGUAUGUGACUGUUGAUCAACAGAGCUCAUUUAGCCUCAGUAAGUUCUUCUUUCAUAUCGAAACCAGACAGUGCAGCCAGCUCUGAAAGCUUCUUCUCUCCGCUAAGAACCUCCCCAUUGAUAACCCAUGUAGGGAACCCUUCGAGUUUUGCUUCUUGACAUGCAUUGAUCAUAGAAAUUCCCCUCUUAAGUCCAUAAGGAAAGCAUUCUACAUAGUCUAGUAACUUUGCUGCUUCUCGUCCAAACAUCUGCUUUUG